GCGUUGGUGGUUUAGUGGUAAAAUUGGCCGUUGCCACUUGGUGUGCGAACAUCGAGCAACAUCGGCCAGCCCCGGGUUCGAUUCCCGGCCGACGCA